GUACGCGGUUCGCGAAUCAUUCACUCAAUUGAAUCGACAAGAAGUACAUGCUUCCACUUGCUGCUGUCCUGAAUGAAGGUCAAACUUGUUACCCAAGUUCUUCCAUGAUCAGAGUCUGGGCCGCUGGAGGAUGAAGUUAUGAGCCGAUAUAUCUGGAAGCAGUGGUGCAGACCUCGGAAUGGACCCAUGGAACAGCUAAAGCCCAGUUCCCCCUCCUGCCGCAGGAGUCUUUGUGGAGCCCGUCAGUCAGGUCAUCAGAGAGACAUUCAGCACAGACACGGAGCAGAAGAUUUAUAGCUGUGAGGUGAGAGCAGAUCAUGGGCUGCUUGAGCAAAGAGGAACAAGAAAACCAGAAAGCACCUACUGAGAAGUACUCAAAGAGAUUUAAUAAACAGAAGUAAAACACUGAACUGAAAUACUGUGAAAUACUGUGCACAAAGUUAAAGAAAG
ensembl:lncRNA